ensembl:lncRNA
AUGCGGCUGUCCUGCGUCUCCAGAGGAGGCCAGCCCCAGCCCAGCGGUCUGGAGUGGCAGACCCCCAACGGAACUGUGAUCCCUGCAGAAGAAGCACCGCCGGCCGCCUCCUCAGACAGCGACGGCCGCUACUCCAUCAGUCAGACGGUGAAGGUGACCGAGCCAGGCAGCUACACCUGUCUGGCCCGGCAGCAAGGCGUCCACCCUGCGGUCAGAGACACCAUCCAAGUGUUUGGCCAUUGGUUGACCGGCGAUCAUGAAGAGGUCCUCGGGAAUGGUACAUGGAAGGCCAUAGGUGUUUCUUUUAUUAUUGUUUUUGUUCUCUUGAUUUUAUCAUUUGGAGUUAAUAUUUACCAAUUUACCAAAACUAAAAACUGUAGGAAUGGUCAUGGUCAACAAGCAGAACCUGAUUCUGAUAGUUUGGAUCGAAGCGGUGCCUAUUUGUCCUGUCCCCGUCGUGAUGCUGCUGUACAGCUGAACGUACCGUCUUUCGGUUGAGCAACGGACACUUUGGUCAUCUGAAGGUGUGCAUUUGUAUCGCAAAAGUUUACUUUUGAUACAACAUUUCUACGAGAGAGCAGUUAUUUAUAUUAGUUAUGGAACAUGGAAACAACCUCAAAUGGCUGUUUCAGGUUAUGGGUUCCUCAGGAGCAUCUCUUCAUGGUGCUCCACCUAGAUCACUCAGGUCCUCUGGCACUGGCCUCUUAGUUACCUAUGGCCCCCCCCCUCUGGAACAGCCUGCCAGAGGAGCUGAGUACGUCACAAUCUGUUAACACAUUUAAAGGUCCCAUGGCAUGAACAUUUUUCUAACAUUAACAUGAGUUCCCCUAGCCUGCCUAUGGUGCCCCAGUAUCUAGAAAUGGCGUUAGGUGUAAAACGAGCACUAGGUAUUCUGCUCCGCCUAUUGAAAAAUGAAAACUCAGACGCUCAGAUUUUGGCCCCAUAUGUCUUCAUAAGGGGCCAAGUUACCUCCCCUUUCUCUGCCUUGCCCGCCCAGAAAAUUUGGCCCGCCAAUGAGAGCUAUGACCGACACAAUAAUGUCUAUAUUGCACACAUCCUCCAUGAUGUAAACACUGUGUAUUUUGAGUAUCUGUAAUUUAAGUAUAUGCAUGAUACUUGGAUUUUUGUAAUUUUUAUAAAUAGUGCACAUUUUACUUUUUAUAGUACUUUUAUCGUCUAACAUUUGAUAUGUAUAGAUAUUUUGUAUUUAACGUUUUACACUUAUUAUAUUAUAUAUUAUACUAUAUACCUGACCUUUUUACUUAUUUAAUAAUGCUAUUUACUUUAUGGUUCACCUGCUUUUGCAAUGCAAAUGUUUAUU